GGCGAACGCUGGCGGCGUGCCUAAUACAUGCAAGUUGAGCGCUGAAGGUUGGUACUUGUACCAACUGGAUGAGCAGCGAACGGGUGAGUAACGCGUGGGGAAUCUGCCUUUGAGCGGGGGACAACAUUUGGAAACGAAUGCUAAUACCGCAUAAAAACUUUAAACACAAGUUUUAAGUUUGAAAGAUGCAAUUGCAUCACUCAAAGAUGAUCCCGCGUUGUAUUAGCUAGUUGGUGAGGUAAAGGCUCACCAAGGCGAUGAUACAUAGCCGACCUGAGAGGGUGAUCGGCCACAUUGGGAAUGAGACACGGCCCAAACUCCUACGGGAGGCAGCAGUAGGGAAUCUUCGGCAAUGGACGAAAGUCUGACCGAGCAACGCCGCGUGAGUGAAGAAGGUUUUCGGAUCGUAAAACUCUGUUGGUAGAGAAGAACGUUGGUGAGAGUGGAAAGCUCAUCAAGUGACGGUAACUACCCAGAAAGGGACGGCUAACUACGUG
rnacentral:rRNA from 1 species